GCUCUCCGGAAGCUCUGCCGCAGCUUGGGGAUGGCGGCAACGACGCUCUGCCUUCAGAUCUAUCUCAAAGGCCCAAAGGCUCAAAGAUAAGG